AUCAAGUAUGACACAUAGAAUGGACCUGCUAUCCCUGUUUAAAUAAGAAAAUCGCAUUUCAGUAGGCCUUUAAACUACCAACUACUUUAAACACUACGGCUGAGUAAAAACAUUGCAAAGGUGUUCCAGUUCCACUAAUCAGUGUCCCAGCAUAAACAUUGCUCCAAAAAGUUCCUCCAACUCAAAGGUUCCAAUCAUUCUUUGUCCUCUCAAGUGUCAGGUAUUUUUUUCAAUUGUAAUACACAAGAAAUAAGAAAAACUACUUGUCCCCGCAUACUGUCAUGGCGGCUGUUGUGUUGGAAUAGAACGUUUUAGAAACUGUGUUCUACCAAUCAGCAUUUGGCAGCACAGCCUGCCCCAAAGUACCUUGUGGCUGGUAGAAACUCGACGCUUCCCUGGUGCAACCCGUUUACCACAGUAGUUUUUGGUGGAAACACGGGGAGGUAUUUUGGUUUAGUUCCUGAAAAAGGGCCUCAUGUCAGGGUUUUUCCGGAAAUGAACAAACAUAACUAACAACUGUAUUGCUUGAACUUGUAUAAGAACACAAAUAAUGUUGUUUCAUGUUGUAAUUCUUCUAGGUCCUUUCAACUUUUCAGUGCUCACACAUUUCAAAGCUCAAGUGAUCAGGAACGGGGAUACGAACCUUACCCAAGCUUUCCAAAAUUUCUUCAAUGAACUUUUAGCACCCAUCUGUCCUAUCUGCACCUUCACAAUUAAUAAUGUGACGCUGACCCCAAACUGACUGGCAUUGGGAUUUGUACUGUGUAUAUAGAUUAUUUCUGCAACUCUGUGAUUUCUGGGAGAUAAAGAGAUA